CGGGCCGUGUGCUCCUAGUCGUCCUCUCCUCGAGGUGCCCCGCUGUGACCAGCAGACCUGCACACAGACGCAAGACAGGAUAAACAUCUGGGAAGCACAGGUAUAUGAGGCACAGAAACACAAGGCACUGUGGAUGCCUCUUCUGUCUGGACAGAAAACUGGAGUCAGGAGACCUCUCUGAGUCCCCAGAGACAGAAUCAUCACUACUGUGUGUCCUUGGG
rnacentral:lncRNA from 1 species